UACGUAGGGGGCAAGCGUUGUCCGGAAUUAUUGGGCGUAAAGAGCGCGUAGGCGGUCCGAUAAGUCGGCUGUGAAAGUCAAGGGCUCAACCCUUGAAAGCCGGCCGAUACUGUCGGACUAGAAGUCCGGAAGAGGCGAGUGGAAUUCCCGGUGUGAGCGGUGAAAUGCGCAGAUAUCGGGAGGAACACCAAUGGCGAAGGCAGCUCGCUGGGACGGUACGUGACGCUGAGGCGCGAAAGCGUGGGGAGCAACAGGAUAGAACCCGGUGAGCCAGACCGAAGUACAUC
rnacentral:rRNA from 1 species